UGGUUCUGGCAUNGAUGAAGAACGCAGCGAAAUGCGAUAAGUAAUGUGAAUUGCAGAAUUCAGUGAAUCAUCGAAUCUUUGAACGCACAUUGCGCCCUAUGGUAUUCCGUAGGGCAUGCCUGUUCGAGCGUCAUUACACCCCUCAAGCUCUGCUUGGUCUUGGGCUCCGCCUCUGGGCGGGCCUCAAACGCAGUGGCGGCACCCCCGGGUCCUGAGCGUAGUACAUCUUCCGCCACGGGUCCCCCGCGAGUGCUGGCCAGAACCCCCCCACUCUCUUGAAUUUGACCUCGGAUCAGGUAGGGAUACCCGCUGA
rnacentral:misc_RNA from 1 species